rnacentral:rRNA from 1 species
GCAGUCGUGGGGCAGCAGGGGCGUAGCAAUACGUUCGCUGGCGACCGGCAAACGGGUGCGGAACACGUACACAACCUUCCUUAAAGUGGGGGAUAGCCCGGGGAAACCCGGAUUAAUACCCCGUAACAUAGUGAAGUGGCAUCGCUUUAUUAUUAUAGCAGUAAUGCGCUUAAAGAUGGGUGUGCGACUGAUUAGGCAGUUGGCGGGGUAACGGCCCACCAAACCUACGAUCAGUAACUGGUGUGAGAGCACGACCAGUCACACGGGCACUGAGACACGGGCCCGACUCCUACGGGAGGCAGCAGUAAGGAAUAUUGGUCAAUGGACGCAAGUCUGAACCAGCCAUGCCGCGUGGAGGAUGAAGGUCCUCUGGAUUGUAAACUUCUUUUACCUGGGAAGAAAUCCACAAAUUCUUUUGUGGUUGACGGUACCAGGUGAAUAAGCACCGGCUAACUCCGUGCCAGCAGCCGCGGUAAUACGGAGGGUGCAAGCGUUAUCCGGAUCCACUGGGUUUAAAGGGUGCGUAGGUGGGUUGGUAAGUCAGUGGUGAAAUCUCCAGGCUUAACUUGGAAACUGCCAUUGAUACUAUCAAUCUUGAAUACCGUGGAGGUCAGCGGAAUAUGUCAAGUAGCGGUGAAAUGCUUAGAUAUGACAUAGAACACCAAUUGCGAAGGCAGCUGGCUACGCGGAUAUUGACACUGAUGCACGAAAGCGUGGGGAUCAAACAGGAUUAGAUACCCUGGUAGUCCACGCCCUAAACGAUGGAUACUCGACAUACGCGAUAUACUGUGUGUGUCUGAGCGAAAGCAUUAAGU